rnacentral:rRNA from 1 species
AGAAUCAACGCUGGCGGCGUGCCUAACACAUGCAAGUCGCACGAGAAAGCGGGAGCAAUCCUGUGAGUAAAGUGGCGUACGGGUGAGUAACACGUGAAUCAUCUACCUUCGAGUGUGGAAUAACUGAGAGAAAUCUUAGCUAAUACCGCAUAAUACCUACGGGUCAAAGCAGUAAUGCGCUUGAAGAGGAGUUCGCGGCAGAUUAGUUAGUUGGCGGGGUAAUGGCCCACCAAGACGAUGAUCUGUA